rnacentral:piRNA from 1 species
UAGAAUGAGACCGAAUGUGGGAGA